AUUGAACGCUGGCGGCAUGCUUUACACAUGCAAGUCGAACGGUAACAGGGAGCUUGCUCCGCUGACGAGUGGGGAACGGGUGAGUAAUGCGUCGGAACGUGCCGAGUAGUGGGGGAUAACGCAGCGAAAGUUGUGCUAAUACCGCAUACGUACUGAGGUAGAAAGUGGGGGACCUUCGGGCCUCACGCUAUUCGAGCGGCCGACGUCUGAUUAGCUAGGAGGUGAGGUAAUGGCUUACCUAGGCGACGAUCAGUAGCGGGUCUGAGAGGAUGAUCCGCCACACUGGGACUGAGACACGGCCCAGACUCCUACGGGAGGCAGCAGUGGGGAAUUUUGGACAAUGGGCGAAAGCCUGAUCCAGCCAUGCCGCGUGUCUGAAGAAGGCCUUCGGGUUGUAAAGGACUUUUGUCGGGGAGGAAAUCCCCAGCGCUAAUACCGCUGGGGGAUGACAGUACCUGAAGAAUAAGCACCGGCUAACUACGUGCCAGCCGCCGCGGUAAGAC
rnacentral:rRNA from 1 species